rnacentral:rRNA from 1 species
CCAUGCAUGUCUCAGUACAAACCGCUUUAAGGCGAAACCGCGAAUGGCUCAUUAAAUCAGUUAUGGUUCCUUGGAUCUUACCCACGCUUACAUGGAUAACUGUGGUAAUUCUAGAGCUAAUACAUGAACCUCGUGCCCCGACCAGUGAUGGGAGGGGUGCUUUUAUUAGAACAAAACCAAUCGGCUCGUCCGUUGCCUUGGUGACUCUGAAUAACUUUUGGCUGAUCGCACGGUCCUGGCACCGGCGACGCAUCUUUCAAAUGUCUGCCUUAUCAACUUUCGAUGGUAGGUUCUGCGCCUACCAUGGUUGUAACGGGUGACGGGGAAUCAGGGUUCGAUCCCGGAGAGGGAGCCUGAGAAACGGCUACCACAUCCAAGGAAGGCAGCAGGCGCGCAAAUUACCCACUCCCGGAACGGGGAGGUAGUGACGAAAAAUAACGAUACGGGACUCAUCCGAGGCCCCGUAAUCGGAAUGAGAACACUUUAAAUCCUUUAACGAGGAUCUAUUGGAGGGCAAGUCUGGUGCCAGCAGCCGCGGUAAUUCCAGCUCCAAUAGCGUAUAUUAAAGUUGUUGCGGUUAAAAAGCUCGUAGUCGGAGGUGUGUCUCGGACGGUCGGUUCGCCGCUUGUCGGUGCUCAACUGGCCGGUCCGGACGUCCUGCCGGUGGGGCCUCACGGCCCCGUCAUCCUUCUUUGGUCCUCUUCACCGAGUGCCUUGGUGGGCCGGCACGUUUACUUUGAACAAAUUAGAGUGCUCAAAGCAGGCCGUUGGUCGCCUGAAUACUGUGUGCAUGGAAUAAUGGAAUAGGACCUCGGUUCCAUUUUGUUGGUUUUCGGGACUCGAGGUAAUGAUUAAUAGGGACGGACGGGGGCAUUCGUAUUGCGACGUU